CCCUUAGAUGUUCUGGGCCACACGCGUGCUACACUGAGUGGAUCAGCGGGUCAGGUUGCGCGAAAGCGUUUCCUAAUCUUUAAAUCCGCUCGUGAUGGGGAUUGACGGUUGCAAUUUUCUGUCAUGAACGAGGAAUACCUUGUAAGCGCGGGUCAUCAUCCCGCGCUGAAUACGUCCCUGCCCUUUGUACACACCGCCCGUCGCUCCUACCGAUUGAGUGGUCCGGUGAGGCUUUGGGAUCUGAGCGGAAAGAGCGUUUCGCUGUCUCUGCUCGGAAAACUCAGUCGAACCUUAUCAUUUAGAGGAAGGAGAAGUCGUAACA
rnacentral:rRNA from 1 species